rnacentral:rRNA from 1 species
AUUGAACGCUGGCGGCAGGCCUAACACAUGCAAGUCGAGCGAGCGGCGGAAGGGUGAGUAAUGUCUGGGAAACUGCCUGAUGUAGGGGGGUAACUCCUGGAAACGGUAUCUAAUACCGCAUACCAUCAGAGGUGCCCAGAUGGGGUUCGCUAGUGGGUGGGGUAACGGCGCACCUAGGCGACGCUCCCUAGCUGGUGUGAGAGGAUGACCAGCCACACUGGAACUGAGACACGGUCCAGACUCCUACGGGAGGCAGCAGUGGGGAAUAUUGCACAAUGGGCGCAAGCCUGAUGCAGCCAUGCCGCGUGUGUGAAGAAGGCCUUCGGGUUGUAAAGCACUUUCAGCGGGGAGGCGUUACUCGCAGAAGAAGCACCGGCUAACUCCGUGCCAGCAGCCGCGGUAAUAC